GUGUAUUAUAUGGACAUUUCGGGCAAAGAUUUACUAUAUUAAUUAACCAUAGCUAAUCUGUUUUUUAUUGCACCUUAUAAUCUUAUCAAGUGGUUCUCUUUGACUCUUCUUAUGGUGUUAUUUACCCGGAGAUAACCAUCGAACGUUCAAGCGAACUUCCUGCAUUUUCAACCAUUUAACCGAUAAAAAUUGCAUAAAUGAUGAUUACAAAAUCGUACAUAAUAAUAAUAAAGAUUCUUUUCGAGAUCAAGAAAGCAAAACAGCACACGUAGAAAACUACAUACUAAAGGGAUCAAUGGACUUCAAAUCAUACAAAACAGAGCCAUGAGGGUCAUACUAAAAUGUAAUAGAUAUACACCGGUGGAUAAUAUGCUAAAUGUCCUAAAUAUUUUGGCAGUAAAACAAAAAAUAUUGUUUAAUACAUGUAUGUUUGUUUUUAAAUUAAAAAAUAAAUUGCUACCAGAAUAUAUUUGCGAAAAAAUCACAAUAUUUAGUGAUUUGCAUAACUAUGCUACCAGACAGCGAGGGGAUUUUGUACUAAUGGGGAGACAUACUUCAGACAGAAUGACAAAUACCAUUCUCCAUAAAGGCCUCAAAUAUUUUAACGAAUUGCCAAUACAUUUAAAGAACAGUGAAAGCCUAGUCACAUUUAGAAAAACAUUAAAAAGAUAUAUAUAUUCCAUCCCAAGAAAUUAAAUUAUAUUAUAUUGUAUAGGUAUAAGGUAUAAAUGUUUUAUUUUCGUUGUAUUGCUUUGUGUUUUAUUACUUUAUCUUUACUCUUUUAAUAUAGUUUAAGGUU